rnacentral:misc_RNA from 1 species
AGGAUGCAGGAAAUGUCUCUUGACUACCACUUCACAGUGGAGCAGGAAGUUGGGUCGUCGACAUAUGCUUUCUUCGGCUUCAAUGGAACGGCUGGAGUGUGGCGAAUUGCAGCUCUGAAUGAAGCAGGAGGCUGGAAGGACAGGACCACAGUGGAGGAUAUGGACUUGGCGGUCCGAGCUAGUCUCAAAGGAUGGCAAUUUGUCUACUUAGGAGAUCUCCAGGUUAAAAGUGAGCUACCAAGCACUUUCAAAGCCUUCCGGUUUCAGCAACAUAGGUGGUCUUGCGGUCCAGCAAACCUAUUCAGAAAAAUGGUGAAGGAGAUUGCAACA